UUAAGUGGCGGACGGGUGAGUAACGCGUGGGUAACCUGCCUUGUACUGGGGGACGAACAGUUGGAAACGACUGCUAAUACCGCAUAAGCGCACAGCUUCGCAUGAAGCAGUGUGAAAAACUCCGGUGGUACAAGAUGGACCCGCGUCUGAUUAGCUGGUUGGUGAGGUAACGGCCCACCAAGGCGACGAUCAGUAGCCGGCCUGAGAGGGUGAACGGCCACAUUGGGACUGAGACACGGCCCAAACUCCUACGGGAGGCAGCAUG
rnacentral:rRNA from 1 species